rnacentral:lncRNA from 1 species
CUUAUAACGGACUGAUCUAAAAUCACGUACUGUUAUGUGUAUGACCACUCUGUCAGCUGACAAGUAAGUACGUUAUAUCAUUGACUAAUCUACUUUACUUUAAAUAUCAAUUAUCAUCAAUUAUAGUAAAAAACAUCAUCAGGGUUUGUUUUUUUUUCUUAACUUAAACAUAAUUCUAUACUAUAUUGGGAAAACGGUAGUAUUUAGUCUCUCCUAGACGACAAUACUUAAAUAUCUGAAUUAACCAAUAUUUAUAACUACAAAAUGGUCAGAAAAGUAAUGUCUUGUAAUAAUAUUUUAUUAAUCUGUUUUAGAAAUAAAAGUCUAUCGGUAUCAUGACUAACUUCGAAUAAAGCUUGUUUAUUGUAUCCAUUGCCACCAUUAUUUAACAUAAAAAUUUGAUAGUCUUUUUAAUAACAUUCUCAAACAAAAUAUUAAAUGUGUUUUAAAAUUUAUACAGCUCAAUUAUGUAUUCCAACUAUUUGAAAAUAAAUUUAAAAACAAAAGAUAAUCCAUAAGAUCUAAAUAAAAAGCUCAAAAAGUAACUUCCAUCACAUGCUAUGGGUUAAAAUAAGUUCAACAUAAAUGCUGAGAAGUGUAAUACUGAAGUUAGUUUUCUCUGUAAGAAUAUGAUGUAUUUCUCAUAAAUAUAUUAGUACAUCGUUUCCGUCCGGAAUUCCACAUAUUAUUGUAUGGUUUCUACUAAACGUUAAUGUUACUUUAUUUUAACAAAACAAUUUAAUAUAUGAACACUAUUCUCUUACAUAUGAAAACAAGAAUUGAAUCUGACAUUGAAUUUUACCCAUACAAUCAUUUGUAGUAGGAUUGAUUCUAUAUUAAGGGGGAUCGCGGGUAUAAAUCAACAACAAAAAAUAAGGAUUUCGCUAUAUUCGUCUUUUAAAAUUUUAUUUAUUUUUUGAUAGUUUUUGAGAACUUUAACAGGUCAAUGAUAAAGAUAUGAAAAAUCAAGAGAGAACAUUUUCCCGCCAAAAUUUCAAUGGCUAAUAUCUGAAAACAAGCACAUUGACCCCUAUAUUUAUUUUUAUUUUUGACUCAAUAAUUAAUCCCCUAUCAAUAUACACUAGUGUUAAGGAAAGUUGUUUCUUUUAAACUGAGCAGUGAACUUCCUUAAGAAGUCUAGAUUUCGACUUUAAGCACAUACUUAAUAAAUGAAUAAUUGAACCACUAAAUAAACUCAUCAUAGAUACCAGGAUAAAAAUUUUGUAUUUAACGCACUUUAAAACUAAAAAAAUAUAUUUGUAAAGUUCAAGUUUUUGAAUGAGGUCAUAUCAAUUUAGUUUAUGAAGUGUUCUUUGCCCUAAGAUUCUUAAUAAUAUAUACAUUAAAGUGUUCGUAGUUACACAUUAAUCAUUUUAAAUCUUAUCUACACCACUGGGUUGAUGCCACUGCUGGUGGACGUUUCGUCCCCGAGGGUAUCACCAGCCCAGUAGUCAACACUUCGGUGUUGACAUGAAUAUCAAUAAUGUGGUCAUUUUUAUAAAUUUCCUGUUUACCAAACUUUGAAAUUUUCGAAAACUAAAGAUUUUCUUAUUCCAGGCAUAGAUUACCUUAGCCGUAUUUGGCACAACUUUUUUGGAAUUUUGGAACCUCAAUGCUCUUCAACUUUGUACUUGUUUGGCUUUAUAAAUAUUUUGAUAUGAGCUUAACUGAUGAGUCUUAUGUAGACGAAACGCGCGUCUGGCGUACUAAAUUAUAAUCCUGGUACCUUUGAUAACUUUUUAUCAUUAUAUUUUCUAUCAGGACAAUUCUUAUUAUUUGUAUAUUUUUUUUUUAAACUUUCGGUUUCACGUUAUUUAAUUGAUAAAUAUAUGUAGUAAUGGUUUCUUCUGUGAUUAGUAGGCAAGGUUUCUUUUUCCCUUCAUUGUGUAUACAUAGAUUCCAGGAGAUGAUAUGAUUGAAUAUAUGAUUAUCUGUUUCUUGUUUUCUAAGUAUUAGUUAUUAAUAUCGGCUGUUCGUCUUCCUAGUUUUAACGCCAUGAUAUACAUUGUUAGAUGAUACUAAGAAGGUGUUCUAAAUGAAACAGGACAGAAAACAGUAAGAAAAAGAUAAAAGACGAAACCAAAGAUAACAAAGAAUUUCUUACCGGUCUUAUAGUUUGGGUAAGUUGCAGUCGGUGAAAAUUAACCUUUCUAAUUGCUAUGCUGUAAAAUGUACUCAGUCACUUUCACUUUUAUCGCUUCAAACUCAAUGAAUAAGUUUGAUUUUACUUUCAGUUUGUUUCUAAUAAUUUUUCUUUCGAUAAUAUAUUAAUAAUAAAGUUAUUAUAUUAAGUAAUUAAUUUUAAAAAGUAUUUGGCACAACUUUUUGGAAUUUUGUGUAGACGAAACGCACGUCUGGCGUAUUAAAAUUAUAAUCCUGGUACCUUUGAUAACUAUGAAUCUUGAUAUAUUUCCUAUUUCAAUAGGAGUCUUUGAUGUUGAUUGACAAUACAAUCGCUGUUCGUUAUUCCAAAGAGUAUACUAUCAUAAAGUCAUUAAUGUUUGAAUAAUCGUGUUGUCUUUACAUUAUACAGUUAUGAUAAAUGUUUAAAUCAUGCUUUCCGAACAUCAUAAUGUACAACAUGUUCAUAAUAUCUGUGUUUUUUUCAACUUAUUUUGAGGAAAAUAACACAUUAUAUAGUUCUGGGAUAUUCCCUCUUCAUGAUAAGUCAUCAUUAUAAGAUAGUUUCUGUCAUGUAUAUCCUAAUAUCAUAAUUAAUGUCACAAUAUUUUGUGAAUUUAAUUACAUUGAACACAUGUUUUGGAUCUAAAUAUGUAAACAGUUUGAGAGCGUUAAAAAUUUAUAUAUCAGGUCAACCUUGUAUGAAGAUGAUGCGUAACCGAAUGGGAAGUUAACAAAGGGAUAUCAAAGAUCAUAAGUCCAAAACAAACUGACACAAACCGAAAUCGACUAAAAGACAAAAAACAGGCUUCAAAGUAAUACAUAGACAACUAAAAACCAAGGAACACAGUUUUGAUAAAUUGAUUUUCCCAACAAAAUGUAUCAUUUGAAUAAUGAAAGUACCAUUGAACUGACUAAAUAUAAAAGUGACAGUAAUAACAUAUGUAUACCAUUUUUGUGCCAUAUAAACUGUUGUCGACAAUAUCGGGAACAAGCGACACACUAUGCCAAAGCCGAACACAUAAAACAAGAGAGCUUACAAUAUAGAGGGACCUGCAUAAACAAUGCUUUGAUUAUUGAUAUAUAAGAUAUUGAUAUCAAAACUAAAAUGUGUAUUUGCUUAAAAAAGUCCUGAACUCAGAAAAAUAAAGUUUAGCUCCCAUCUUGAUGAGUAACCAAUGUUCGUCUUCAUACUAUAUUGUAUUCUUUGAUACUUUUUUUUACUGUUUCUCCAUUCUAAUCUAGCUUUUGUAGUUUUAUUCUUAUACCAAUCACGAUGGCAAACGUCAAUAUCAAUAUCUCUUACCUUUCAGACAUAUAAUCCUCCCUUUUUUGUCUCUUUUGCUAAUAGAAUAGUUAUAAACUAAACAAAAUCAUAGUGUUUUACUUUUUGCAGAUUGCAACUGAUAAGAAACAAUAAUGUCAAACCCUCAACACAAAUUCUUUAACAACAUCAGUUACAAGUCAGAUAAAACCGAUUCAAUCUAUGAGGAGGUACCUUCAGAAAAUCAUUCAACAGAGUACGAUGAAAUAAAAUUAGUGUAUAAGAAAGAUCAUUCCAAUGAU